rnacentral:rRNA from 1 species
UGCGUAGGCGGCAUGUCAAGCCAGAGGUGAAAGGCAUUGGCUCAACCAAUGUAAGCCUUUGGAACUGACGCGCUUGAGUACAGGAGAGGUAAGUGGAAUUCCUAGUGUAGAGGUGAAAUUCGUAGAUAUUAGGAGGAACACCAGUGGCGAAGGCGGCUUACUGGUCCAUUACUGACGCUGAGGUGCGAAAGCGUGGGGAGCAAACA